rnacentral:rRNA from 1 species
GUGCCUAAUACAUGCAAGUUGAGCGCUGAAGGUUGGUACUUGUACCGACUGGAUGAGCAGCGAACGGGUGAGUAACGCGUGGGGAAUCUGCCUUUGAGCGGGGGACAACAUUUGGAAACGAAUGCUAAUACCGCAUAAAAACUUUAAACACAAGUUUUAAGUUUGAAAGAUGCAAUUGCAUCACUCAAAGAUGAUCCCGCGUUGUA